GCAUCGGUGGUUCAAUGGUAGAAUUCUUGCCAGCCACAGUGGAUACUUGGGUUCAAUUCCCAGCCGAUGCA